CCUACGGGUGGCUGCAGUGGGGAAUAUUGGACAAUGGGCGAAGGCCUGAUUCAGCCAUGCCGCGUGAGUGAUGAAGGCCCUAGGGUUGUAAAGCUCUUUUGUGCGGGAAGAUAAUGACGGUACCGCAAGAAUAAGCCCCGGCUAACUUCGAGCCAGCAGCCGCGGUAAUACGAAGGGGGCUAGCGUUGCUCGGAAUCACUGGGCGUAAAGGGUGCGUAGGCGGGUUUCUAAGUCAGAGGUGAAAGCCUGGAGCUCAACUCCAGAACUGCCUGUGAUACUGGAAGUCUUGAGUUCGGGAGAGGUGAGUGGAACUGCGAGUGUAGAGGUGAAAUUCGUAGAUAUUCGCAAGAACACCAGUGGCGAAGGCGGCUCACUGGCCCGAUACUGACGCUGAGGCACGAAAGCGUGGGGAGCAAACAGGAUUAGAUACCCCAGUAGUC
rnacentral:rRNA from 1 species